rnacentral:rRNA from 1 species
GACGAACGCUGGCGGCGUGCUUAACACAUGCAAGUCGAACGGAAAGGCCCUGCUUUUGUGGGGUGCUCGAGUGGCGAACGGGUGAGUAACACGUGAGUAACCUGCCCUUGACUUUGGGAUAACUUCAGGAAACUGGGGCUAAUACCGGAUAGGAGCUCCUGCUGCAUGGUGGGGGUUGGAAAGUUUCGGCGGUUGGGGAUGGACUCGCGGCUUAUCAGCUUGUUGGUGGGGUAGUGGCUUUCCAAGGCUUUGACGGGUAGCCGGCCUGAGAGGGUGACCGGCCACAUUGGGACUGAGAUACGGCCCAGACUCCUACGGGAGGCAACAGUGGGGAAUAUUGCACAAUGGGCGGAAGCCUGAUGCAGCAACGCCGCGUGCGGGAUGACGGCCUUCGGGUUGUAAACCGCUUUCGCCUGUGACGAAGCGUGAGUGACGGUAAUGGGUAAAGAAGCACCGGCUAACUACGUG